rnacentral:rRNA from 1 species
CCUACGGGAGGCAGCAGUGAGGAAUAUUGGUCAAUGGACGCAAGUCUGAACCAGCCAUGCCGCGUGAAGGAUGAAGGUCCUAUGCAUUGUAAACUGCUUUUAUACGGGGGUAAUUAUAGAUACGUAUACCUGUAUGUAAUUACCGUAUGAAUAAGGAUCGGCUAACUCCUUGCCAGCAGCCGCGGUAAUACGGAGGAUCCGAGCGUUAUCCGGAUUUAUUGGGUUUAAAGGGUGCGUAGGCGGUCGGUUAAGUAAGAUGUGAAAGCUCGCUGCUCAACCUCGAAAAUGCCUUUGAUACUGGCUGACUAGAGUGCAGUUGAGGAAGGCGGAAUGCGUGGUGUAGCGGUGAAAUGCUUAGAUAUCACACAGAACACCGAUUGCGAAGGCAGCUUUCCAAGCUAUUACUGACGCUGAGGCACGAAAGCGUGGGUAGCAAACAGGAUUAGAUACCCGAGUAGUC